GACGAACGCUGGCGGCAUGCCUAACACAUGCAAGUCGAACGAUCCCUUCGGGCGGAGUGUCGCACGGGUGCGUAAGGCGUUGUUACCUGCCCUUGGGUUCGGAAUAACUCAGAGAAAUUUGAUCUAAUACCGGAUAAUGUCUUCGGACCAAAGAUUUAUCGCCAUUGGAUGGGCCCGCGUUGGAUUAGCUAGUUGGUAGGGUAAAUGCCUACCAAGGCGACGAUCCGUAGCUGGUCUGAGAGGGUGAUCGGCCACACUGGGACUGAGACACGGCCCAGACUCCUACGGGAGGCAGCAGUGGGGAAUAUUGGACAAUGGACGAAAGUCUGAUCCAGCAAUGCCGCGUGAGUGAAGAAGGCCUUAGGGUUGUAAAGCUCUAUUACCCGGGAUGAUAAUGACGGUACCGGGAGAAGAAGCCCCGGCUAACUACGUG
rnacentral:rRNA from 1 species